AACACUUGAAACCUCCCAACUGCAACCAUGUGAGCAAGUCAUCAAUGUCCCCUCCAGUGUACUUCAACCCUAGGCCUGUGCUGGCGGCUCCUUCUGCAUCUCCACCACCCUCUUCCACGACUGGCGGGCCGAGAUGGCAUCCCACCACUUGCUCACCCUCUUCCUAUCUCGGAUCAGUGCUGCACAAUCCCUCGAUGCAAUGAUCCUGUGAGUGUUCGGGAGGUGUGAGAGGUCGGCCAGCGUGAACUUGUCCCCGGCUAGGUACGUUGUCUCCUCGAGCCUCUGUUCGUAGAUGUCCAGCACCCUGGCCAGCUUCCGCUUGCUCUGUUCUACCACCACGGGGUCCGGCUCAAGCCCCACAAGCG
rnacentral:misc_RNA from 1 species